rnacentral:sRNA from 2 species
UGGCGCAACAAAGAGAACGGGAGAACUACUGUGUAUCCUGGGUGCAGCCUGACAGGCAGCUCAACCUGGAUAACGACCUGAAAGAAAUCGCGGGAUCCCGAGCAUGCUUCUAGAAAGGCUUGAUCAAAAGGCCUAGCAAAGAAUAUCUGGGUGUUUCUGAAGGGCUAUCCCUGCCCCAUCAGAUGUAUUUUAGGUUCAGAUGUGUGGAUAGUUACGGAGAUAUAUAUCACAAUUGCUGACAUUGUGGGAAUUUCAGCUUGUAGCUGCUGCUGGUCGAUCUGCGCCUUGCUGGGUCGGCGCACGGUAACAAAAAUAGCUAGCCGUCAUAUGAGCAAUAUGAACAACAUCAUAC